rnacentral:rRNA from 1 species
UACGUAGGGGGCAAGCGUUGUCCGGAUUUAUUGGGCGUAAAGAGCGUGUAGGCGGCCUGGAAGGUCAGCUGUGAAAACUCGAGGCUCAACCUCGAGACGUCGGUUGAAACCACCUGGCUAGAGUCCGGAAGAGGAGUGUGGAAUUCCCGGUGUAGCGGUGAAAUGCGCAGAUAUCGGGAGGAACACCGGUGGCGAAGGCGGGUCUCUGGGCAGUAACUGACGCUGAGGAGCGAAAGCGUGGGGAGCGAACAGG